AUGUAUCUGCAUUCUGUCUCACUGAGGCCUCCGUUACACAGUGUAGCCUAUCUCCAGUAUUUCAUGUUCCAGAUCCAUAUAGCAAACAUACAAAACUCUGACAAAAUGGAACAACAAAUUGAGAAUUAUAUUAUUUCUGAUUUUUUUCUUUAAAGAAGUUCAGAAGGUAUAGAAUAAAUAAUAUAACUUACAUCACUACAUCACUGUAUGCAGUAGUAGCAGGAAUAAAAUCGAUGUAGUUAUUUCUAUUUUCAAAUAGAAAGGAUAGAUCUCAUAUUAGGUUAAUUUAAAUUCUUUAAAGGUCAAUAUAAUUGAAUCUAAUUAAUGAACAGUAAAUAAAAUCUUAUAGUACCUUAAUUCUUAACAAAAUCCUAGUACUCUGAUGAUCACAGGUGUCUUACCAAAAGAAUCACUUCUCCUGUUCUCUUCCAUCUAUGGUUAUGAUACCAUGAUGCAAAUCCAGAGUGCUGUGAGUCCAUGCAGUAUUUAUGUGCAGCUGAGCUGAGUGGAGCAGUCGAGUCUCAUCAACACUCACCAUGAAGAUCCCACUCUCCUUAUUCCUGCUACUAAUCAGCCUCAUCAGUGUGAAAUGUCAAAGUCUUGAGUCAUUACAAAUGACAGUGCAGAAGAAACCUGGAGAAACUCUGAGUCUCUCCUGCAGAGGAUCUGGAUUUACUUUUGGAAGCUACGACAUGCACUGGAUCAGACAACAGGCGAACAAACCACUGGUGUGGAUGGGGUUUAUCUACACUGAUGGCAGUGGCACUGGAUAUAGUAAAGCUUUUGAAGGGAGAACAGAAAUCACCAGAGAUAAUUCCAACGGCAUGGUGUAUCUGAAACUCUCUGGUGUGACAGCAGAGGACACAGCUGUGUAUUACUGCGCACGAGACACACAGUAGCAGAAAUAUGAGGAAACACUGUACAAAAACAUUAGUGGUGCUGCUGAUUCAUUUCAUCUGCUGAAAACAUUUUUAGAGCCCAUACCUCUCUUCUGUUUGGAUUAGGAAUCCACAGGAAUCAACAAUAUUUCUUCAUUUAGUUCUAAUGAUAGAUAAUAAAUGUUACAUGAAUGAUUAUCAACAAGGAUUUAGCUCAAUUAAAAAAUACCACUAUGUGAGGAAUACAACACUUGCAGUGUGCUGUUAUAGGAAAUCAUGUGACUGUGUAAUGUGAUGCGGCCCGAUGUGAAGUGGACUCACUGUUACCACCCUGAAUUUACCCUCAUGUUUUCCAGUAACAGCACAUCCCAAACUGCUUUAUUUCUCUCAUAACACAGCAAUUUGCCAACAAGAAAAAUUUUUUGUUUCUUAUUUAACAACAAUUUAUAUAUUUUGGCCAUUAAUAAUUGCCUUUACUAGCUGCUCUUUUAUCUCACUCUUGAAGUUAAUAAGAAAAUUAAAAGCAGCUCAUCAGGUUGCUGAGAAACCACAAAGUGCAAAGUUCUCUGUCCUAAAGAAUUUUCUGUGUCAGGAAACUUACUGCAACUGGAGACUCCUUCCAUAAAUGUUAAAUAUCCCCUUACAUCAAACUUCACCAAAUCCGUGCUUCAUCCACACAUAAGUACAGAUAUCACAGUUAACAAAAUUCCCGAGUUUCUCUUAGCAGCAGUCUUACUUUUAAGAUUUAAAACUAUUUACGUCCAAUAAGAAAGCUUAAUAAAUGACCUAAAUUCAUUCUUUCAGUUGUCUUCAUUAACUGAUUUUUUUUC